AGCUUGUCCGGGUCCACAGCGCGCGAGGUCAGUAGGUAGUCACGCAUCACGAUGCCGUGGCGGCCCUC
rnacentral:sRNA from 1 species